rnacentral:rRNA from 1 species
UACGAGGGGGGCGAGCGUUGUUCGGAAUUAUUGGGCGUAAAGCGCGCGCAGGCGGUUCUUUAAGUCUGAUGUGAAAGCCCACGGCUCAACCGUGGAGGGUCAUUGGAAACUGGGGAACUUGAGUACAGAAGAGGAAAGCGGAAUUCCACGUGUAGCAGUGAAAUGCGUAGAGAUGUGGAGGAACACCAGUGGCGAAGGCGGCUUUCUGGACCAUAACUGACGCUGAGGCACGAAAGCGUGGGUAGCAAACAGG